UACGUAGGGGGGCAAGCGUUGUUCGGAAUUACUGGGCGUAAAGGGCGCGUAGGCGGCCUUCUAAGUCGAACGUGAAAUCCCCGGGCUCAACCCGGGAACUGCGUCCGAUACUGGAAGGCUUGAAUCCGGGAGAGGGAUGUGGAAUUCCAGGUGUAGCGGUGAAAUGCGUAGAUAUCUGGAGGAACACCGGUGGCGAAGGCGACAUCCUGGA
rnacentral:rRNA from 1 species